GCUGGCUUAGCUCAACUGGUAGAGCAACUGACUUGUAAUCAGUAGGUUGGGAGUUCGAUUCUUCUAGCCAGCA
rfam:Glossina fuscipes fuscipes unplaced genomic scaffold Scaffold898, whole genome shotgun sequence.